AUUCCAGCUCCAAUAGCGUAUAUUAAAGUUGUUGCAGUUAAAAAGCUCGUAGUUGGAUUUCUGGCGUGCGACCCGGGUCGGCCCGAAAUGGGCCUGUACUAGGAGUCGCGCGCCAUCCUUGGGGCGAGGCGUACUACCAUUAACUUGGCGGUGCGUUGAGCCCCAUCGUUUACUGUGAACAAAUUAGAGUGUUUAAAGCAGGCAUAUGCCUUGAAUACAUUAGCAUGGAAUAAUAAGAUAGGACUUCGGUAAUAUUUUGUUGGUUCAUUAUUGAGGUAAUGAUUAAUAGGGAUAGUUGGGGGUAUUCAUAUUCAAUUGUCAGAGGUGAAAUUCUUGGAUUUAUGGAAGACGAACAACUGCGAAAGCAUUUACCAAGGAUGUUUUCAUUA
rnacentral:rRNA from 1 species